rnacentral:misc_RNA from 1 species
UCAAACUUGGUCAUUUAGAGGAAGUAAAAGUCGUAACAAGGUUUCCGUAGGUGAACCUGCGGAAGGAUCAUUACUGAGUUAGGGUCUUUUGGCCCGACCUCCAACCCUCUGUUUAUUAUACUAUGUUGCUUUGGUGGGCCUGCCUUUUGGGGCUGCUGGGGGCAUUGCUGCCCCUGACUCGUGCCUGCCAGGAGCCUUCUUAAAUUCAGUGUUCAACGGUGCUGUCUGAGUCCCAGUAGCGAAAUAUCAAAAACUUUCAACAACGGAUCUCUUGGUUCUGGCAUCGAUGAAGAACGCAGC